UAGCUGAAGCAGCCAUCUUGUGACCACAAGCAACGGACUAGUAGGGGAAGAGUCGACACACUGAAGAGAAGAAAGCAAUGUUUUUUUCUAGAAAGAAGAAAGAGAAAAGUGGAUUCUCAACUAGAAGCAAAAACAUCCACUGAAGUUUGUGAGAGUGCAAUAGGCAGUGCCACAGAUCUUUCUGAGGAAGUACUACCAUAUGACUUCACCUUCUCAGGCUGAGGUAUCAGCUUGACUGUCACUCCACAGAUCAAGACUAGAGGUAAAUGUAAACACUAUACAGGUGGGAUGAGAAACAGCUGUUCAGCUGCCUGGCUAGAAGAACAGGCCCAGUUCUUUGCUACAGGAUGGACAUGGAAAAGUUCAGGCAUUUGAAGUUACUGGCGUCAGCCACAUGAGAUUGAUGACGGGAUUGGCUUCUACAAGAGGUCCAUGUGGUUCUCAUUUCUGAAAACAGAUGUUUGGAAACCAAUGUUUUCAAAGAUAAUAUGAAACUACACCAAUAUGCUGCACUAUGGAGAAAAACUAACCUUGACAGAAGAAAAAAGAUUUUCUUGAGGCAGAAGAUGAAGGACUAUUGGUCGGGACAUUCACAGAAGUCUGUUCUGUAAGUUGGGUUAUAUGGAAGCAGAGAUGCUAGGUCAACCCAUGUUGUGCCCUCCCU
rnacentral:lncRNA from 1 species